AACGAACGCUGGCGGCAUGCCUAACACAUGCAAGUCGAACGAGACCUUCGGGUCUAUUGGCGCACGGGUGCGUAACGCGUGGGAACCUGCCCUUAGGUUUGGAAUAACUCCCCGAAAGGGGUGCUAAUACCGGAUAAUGUCUUCGGACCAAAGAUUUAUCGCCUUUGGAUGGGCCCGCGUUGGAUUAGCUAGUUGGUAGGGUAAAAGCCUACCAAGGCGAGGCUCCAUAGCUGGUCUGAGAGGAUGAUCAGCCACACUGGGACUGAGACACGGCCCAGACUCCUACGGGAGGCGGCAGUGGGGAAUAUUGGACAAUGGGCGAAAGGCUGAGCCAGCAAUGCCGCGUGAGUGAUGAAGGCCUUAGGGUUGUAAAGCUCUUUUAGCCGGGAUGAUAAUGACAGUACCGGGAGAAUAAGCCCCGGCUAACUCCGUG
rnacentral:rRNA from 1 species